rnacentral:lncRNA from 1 species
AUGACCAUCUCCAUCAUCAUUAUCAUCAUCAUCAUCACCAUCAUCACUAUCAUCACUACCACCAUCAUUACCAUCAUCAUCAUCAUUACCAUCUCCAUCAUCAUUAUCAUCAUCAUCAUCAUUACCAUCAUCAUCAUCAUUACCAUCUCCAUCAUCAUUAUCAUCAUCAGCACUACCACCAUCAUCAUUACCAUCUCCAUCAUCAUUAUCAUCAUCAGCACUACCACCAUCAUCAUUACCAUCACCAUCAUCACUACCACCAUCAAUACCAUCAUCAUCAUGACCAUCUCCAUCAUCAUUAUCAUCAUCAUCACCAUCAUCACUACCACCAUCAUUACCAUCUUCUUCAUCAUUAUCAUCAUCAGCACUACCACCAUCAUUACCAUCAUCAUUACCAACUCCAUCAUCAUUAUCACCAUUAUCAUCAUCAUUAUUAUCAUCAUUAUCAUUAUCACAUUAUCACCAUUAUUAUCAUCAUCAUUGUCACCAUUAUUAUCACUAUCACAAUUAUCACCAUUAUUAUCACUAUCACAAUUAUCACCAUUAUUAUCACUAUCACAAUUAUCACCACUAUUAUCAUCAUCAUCAUCAUCCUCAAUAUCAUCAUCACCAUUACUAUCAUUAUCACCAUCAAAAUCAUCACCAUUAUUAUCAUCAUCAUUACAUUAUCAUCACCACCAUUAUUGUCAUAAUCAUCACCAUUAUCAUCAUCACCAUCAUUACCAUCAUUAUCAUCAUCAUCAACACUACCACCAUCAUUAUCACCAUCUUCAUCAUUAUCACCAUCAUCAUCAUCAACACUACCACCAUCAUUAUCACCAUCUUCAUCAACACUACCACCAUCAUUAUCACCAUCUUCAUCAUUAUCACCAUCUUCAUCAUCAUCACUACCACCAUCAUUACCAUCAUCAUUUCCACAUUCCUGUGGCAACCUGCCACCCAAUUUUAUUUGCACCUUAUACACGUCCACCGAAGACAUUCCACGCAAGCACACACUUAGGGCCUUGGGAGUGA